rnacentral:rRNA from 1 species
GGGGCUGGCGGCGUGCUUACACAUGCAAGUCGAACGAUGAAGCCUAGCUUGCUGGGUGGAUUAGUGGCGAACGGGUGAGUAACACGUGAGCAACCUGCCCCUGACUCUGGGAUAAGCGCUGGAAACGGCGUCUAAUACUGGAUAUGUCCCAUCACCGCAUGGUGUGUGGGUGGAAAGAUUUUUCGGUUGGGGAUGGGCUCGCGGCCUAUCAGCUUGUUGGUGAGGUAAUGGCUCACCAAGGCGUCGACGGGUAGCCGGCCUGAGAGGGUGACCGGCCACACUGGGACUGAGACACGGCCCAGACUCCUACGGGAGGCAGCAGUGGGGAAUAUUGCACAAUGGGCGGAAGCCUGAUGCAGCAACGCCGCGUGAGGGAUGACGGCCUUCGGGUUGUAAACCUCUUUUAGCAGGGAAGAAGCGAGAGUGACGGUACCUGCAGAAAAAGCACCGGCUAACUACGUGCCAGCAGCCGCGGUAAU